AAUGUUGAAGUGAAAUCCUUUCUGCAAGCUGUAGUUCUUGGUCCUCAUCAGUAAGGGCUCCUAAUCCUCUGCAUUUUCAGCAAGCGAGACUCCUACCACUCGGCUACCAGGACACCAAACCCGCUUUGUUCGAGAGAGCUCUCAAAGUAAGCAGGUCCCUGGUCUGCCAUCUACCCGGAACUCGAAGCCAAAUUAUUCUUGACAUGCCUCCUGUUAAUGAAAACAUGGUAUCAACCACAACAACGAAAAAUUGAAGCAGCAAAUAAUUUGGUUCCAAAAGGAUUAAU